rnacentral:rRNA from 1 species
UGGGAAUAUUGCACAAUGGGCGAAAGCCUGAUGCAGCAACGCCGCGUGAGUGAUGAAGGCCUUCGGGGUUGUAAAGCUCUGUCUUUUGGGACGAUAAUGACGGUACCAAAGGAGGAAGCCACGGCUAACUACGUGCCAGCAGCCGCGGUAAUACGUAGGUGGCAAGCGUUGUCCGGAUUUUACUGGGCGUAAAGGAUGCGUAGGCGGAUUUUUAAGUGAGAUGUGAAAACCCUAAGCUUAACUUGGGGACUGCAUUUCAUACUGGAAAUCUAGAGUGCGGGAGAGGAGAAUGGAAUUCCUAGUGUAGCGGUGAAAUGCGUAGAGAUUAGGAAGAACACCAGUGGCGAAGGCGAUUCUCUGGACCGUAACUGACGCUGAGGCAUGAAAGCGUGGGUAGCAAACAGGAUUAGAUACCCUGGUAGUCCACGCCGUAAACGAUGAGUACUAGGUGUAGGAGGUAUCGACCCCCUUCUGUGCCGCAGUUAACACAAUAAGUACUCCGCCUGGGAAGUACGAUCGCAAGAUUAAAAACUCAAAGGAAUUGACGGGGGUCAUAGCUGUUUUUCCU